AUUGAACGCUGACGGCAUGCCUUACACAUGCAAGUCGAACGGUAACAGGUCUUCGGAUGCUGACGAGUGGCGAACGGGUGAGUAAUGCAUCGGAACGUGCCCAGUAGUGGGGGAUAGCCCGGCGAAAGCCGGAUUAAUACCGCAUACGACCUGAGGGUGAAAGGGGGGGAUCGCAAGACCUCUCGCUAUUGGAGCGGCCGAUGUCAGAUUAGCUAGUUGGUGGGGUAAAGGCCUACCAAGGCAACGAUCUGUAGUUGGUCUGAGAGGACGACCAGCCACACUGGGACUGAGAAACGGCCCAGACUCCUACGGGAGGCAGCAGUGGGGAAUUUUGGACAAUGGGCGAAAGCCUGAUCCAGCAAUGCCGCGGGCAGGAAGAAGGCCUUCGGGUCGUAAACUGCUUUUGUCAGGGAAGAAAUCUUCUGGGUUAAUACCUCGGGAGGAUGACGGUACCUGAAGAAUAAGCACCGGCUAACUACGUGCCAGCCGCCGCCGUAA
rnacentral:rRNA from 1 species